ACAUGCUUGCAUCAUAGAGUUAAUGCAUUGGAUCCCAUUUUAACUCCGCAUUUAAGAGCACUUGGGCUAGAGUAGUACUGGGAUAGGUGACCACCCAGGAAGUCCUAGUGUUUUACAUGCC
rnacentral:rRNA from 1 species